GCUCGCUCCUUCGCGCUCUCCCCCUACCAAGUGGGCACACAACUUUUCGCUCCUCGCUCCCGAGCACGCCCCGCGCGUCUCCGCCGCCGGAGCCACUCAGUGAAGAUGCGCCCUUCGGAGCAGUGUGCGCGCGGCCCGCGGAGGGCCAGGCUCCCGGAUAAAAGAGCUGGCAGACGAUAAAAGGAUGCGGAGGAGCAAGCUGCAAGAUAAAUUGAUCCUGUCCAGAAGCCCCAUUUUUCAGAUGAGGAAACCGGAAACAUCUAGUCAGAGUUGAACCCAAUCUGGGAAACCCAUCGGAGCUCUUUGAGCACAGGUGGCUUUCUCUGCGGCAGCAGAGAAAGAUUCCCAAGGUUGCAGUGCUUGGUCCUUACAUCUUCUCUCCUAGGGAUUCUACAAAAGUAUGUUCCUUUAGUAUUCACAGAGAAGACCAAAGACACGUCACCAAUUCUCAUGCUUUGCACGCAUCAAGGAGAAGGCUCAGCACUCUGGAGUCAGUCUUGAGCACCUAAAGCAUCCUGUCAAAUUUUGAUGUGAUGGGAAACAGAAAAGGCAUUUUGCAUCUGGAUAUACAAAUCUCACCAGGUGCAGAUGAUUUGGAGAUGAAUGAGACGAGAUGUGCUCAGACGCUCUGUCAAGUGACAAAGAUGAUGUGAACACGUGAACUUGGAACAAGGACAGCUCUCAGAAGCUACAGCAGAAUGGAUGGAUGAAAACAGGGAAGGCUGAGGCAUCAGACUAUCCUUGGAAAUGUCCUUUAAUGGAACUUAACCUCUCUGGAUGUCCUUGUAACCUUCUGACCUUGGCAGCCACUUAACCUGGCUGACAAGUAUGUCAGGUGUGGCUGCAGCACAGACAACCUAGGAGGGUAUAAGGUGAGAGUCCUGGGUCCUGUGCUUGGAAGGUUAAAAUCGACCUGUUCCUGGGGCCUUAUCUGUUAGACUGAAAACACA